rnacentral:rRNA from 1 species
AUUGAACGCUGGCGGAAUGCUUUACACAUGCAAGUCGAACGGCAGCACGGGGCAACCUGGUGGCGAGUGGCGAACGGGUGAGUAAUACAUCGGAACGUGCCCAAUCGUGGGGGAUAACGUAGCGAAAGUUACGCUAAUACCGCAUACGAUCUACGGAUGAAAGCGGGGGAUCGCAAGACCUCGCGCGAAUGGAGCGGCCGAUGUCAGAUUAGGUAGUUGGUGGGGUAAAGGCUCACCAAGCCAACGAUCUGUAGCGGGUCUGAGAGGAUGAUCCGCCACACUGGAACUGAGACACGGUCCAGACUCCUACGGGAGGCAGCAGUGGGGAAUUUUGGACAAUGGGCGCAAGCCUGAUCCAGCCAUGCCGCGUGCGGGAAGAAGG